GACGAACGCUGGCGGCGUGCUUAACACAUGCAAGUCGAACGGUAAGGCCCUUCGGGGUACACGAGUGGCGAACGGGUGAGUAACACGUGAGUGAUCUGCCCUGCACUUCGGGAUAAGCCUGGGAAACUGGGUCUAAUACCGGAUAGGACUCCUGGCUUCAUGGUUGGGGGUGGAAAGCUUUUGCGGUGUGGGAUGGGCCCGCGGCCUAUCAGCUUGUUGGUGGGGUAAUGGCCUACCAAGGCGACGACGGGUAGCCGGGCUGGGAGGGUGACCGGUCACACUGGGACUGAGAUACGGCCCAGACUCCUACGGGAGGCAGCAGUGGGGAAUAUUGCACAAUGGGCGCAAGCCUGAUGCAGCGACGCCGCGUGAGGGAUGACGGCCUUCGGGUUGUAAACCUCUUUCAGCUAUGACGAAGCGCAAGUGACGGUAGUAGCAGAAGAAGGACCGGCCAACUACGUGCCAGCAGCCGCCGUAA
rnacentral:rRNA from 1 species